AGCUCCAAUAGCGUAUAUUAAAGUUGCUGCAGUUAAAAAGCUCGUAGUUGCAUUUCCGAGGCAAGGGAUUAGUCCGACCUUUGGUGGGUAUUUAAUCCUCUUGCCUCGUCCUUGAGUGGUGCUUCUUGGUAUUAAGUUAUCGAGGAGAUAGCCGCUCAUCGUUUACUGUGAGAAAAUUAGAGUGUUCAAAGCAGGCUUAUGCCGUUGAAUAUAUUAGCAUGGAAUAAUAAGAUAGGACCUCGGUACUAUUUUGUUGGUUUGAGAACCAAGGUAAUGAUGAAUAGGGACAGUUGGGGGUAUUCGUAUUCAGUUGUCAGAGGUGAAAUUCUUAGAUUUACGGAAGACGAACUACUGCGAAAGCAUUUUCCACGGAUGUUUUCA
rnacentral:rRNA from 1 species